rnacentral:rRNA from 1 species
AUUGAACGCUAGCGGGAUGCCUUACACAUGCAAGUCGAACGGAGUGGCGAACGGGUGAGUAAUGUAUCCGAACGUGCCCAGUCGCGGUGGAUAACUACGCGAAAGCGUAGCUAGUCUCGCAUACUUUUGGAGCGGCCGGUAUCGGAUUAGCUGUGUGGUGGGGUAACGGCUCACCAAGGCGACGAUCCGUGGCUGGUUUGUGAGGACGACCAGCCACACUGGGACUGAGAGACGGCCCAGACUCCUACGAGAGGGAUCAGUGGGGAAUUUUGGACAAUGGGGGAAACCCUGAACCAGCCAUCCCGCGUGGGCGAUGAAGGCCUUCGGGUUGUAAAGCACGUUUGGCAGGAAAGCGGUACCUGCAGAAUAAGCACCGGCUAACUACGUGCCAGCAGCCGCGGUAAUAC